UACAGAGGUCCCAAGCGUUGUUCGGAUUCAUUGGGCGUAAAGGGUGCGUAGGUGGCGUCGUAAGUCGGGUGUGAAAUCUCGGGGCUUAACUCCGAAACUGCAUUCGAUACUGCGGUGCUUGAGGACUGGAGAGGAGACUGGAAUUUACGGUGUAGUGGUGAAAUACGUAGAUAUCAGGAGGAAUACCGGUGGCGAAGGCGGCUAUCUGGCCAUGUACUGACGCUGAGAUACGAAAGCGUGGGGAGCAAACAGG
rnacentral:rRNA from 1 species